AUGGGAUCAGAGGGAAGAGAAACAAGCAAAGGAAGAAUUUUUGAGAUGAGGAGAGGAAGAAGUGAGCGGAACAACUCUGAAGAUGGUCAAUGUCCAUGUGAGGUCAUACACGGCACUGCAAUGGCACUACUCAGCUUUGCCACUGGAAAAAACAAGCCCACCUUCCCUCAGACAACUGUUCGUAACACCCUUUUGCUGAAUUAUUCCCAUUUGAAAUGCGAAUUUACUGCCUUAAAAAUAUGUAUCUGACUAGCAAUCAGUAUGUAACUUAGAGUGCCAUUGCUCUGCUUUGCCACAUGACUCUGAAAGGUGAACAAAAAAGAGAUCAAGAUGGAAAGAUAUUGCUCAAAAUUUCCUUUUUCUGUAUCCCAGACACCCACUUAUUUUUGAGAGAGUCUGAUUUAUUGGCAUCUUUUGGCCCUUUGUAUAGUUAAAACUGACUUUAUGAAAUGCAUGAUGACACAGCAGAGCAGAACAGAAGAGAAAACCAGCACAUGAUGCUGCAGGGCUAUGCCUUUAGCGUGGGAAGUCUAACAGCUCUGCUCUCAUUGCAUCAUUUAGCUUACAGAAGUGGCUUUCACUUUUCUCUCCAGUGUCCUCUGCAGGUAGCUCAGCUUAGGGUUAAGACAGUCACCAAUACAUGUACCAUCUUGAAAGUACUUGCCUAGACAAAUACCUUUUUCAGGCAGUGUAGGGUACCCCUCACCUCUUAUCUUGGCCAGCCAGACAGUAGGCAUUAAGCAAAGACGUGACAGUUCUGAUCCUCUGUAAGGUAAUACAAAUGAUAACCAUUCAGAGACACACUCACUGUCCUUCCACUGCUUCUUGCACAAAGGUAACUGAAAACACUUCUAAAAAUGAGGCUCAUUUUUUUGAAACAAGUCUGCAACAAUUCUCCAGAGACUAGUCCAGUACUGCUAAUGGAAAUUCUGUAAGCUCUAAAUUGGCAUUCUCGUGUAUUUAUUUAUUUUUUUUAAUUUUAAAUUCACUUCUAUUACAGCUAUAGGCCACUCUAUUGGUUCUGAAAAUAAGAUGUUUUACUGUUUUACUAUUCAUGACUGAAGUGACAAACUCCUGCCAUCUAGAGGGUGGUUUCUGGAACAUAUUUGGGGCAGAUACUGUGUCACAGUGUAAAAUAAAACGAAGAUAAAAAGCUUAGUGUCUACA
rnacentral:lncRNA from 1 species